UACGAAGGGGGCUAGCGUUGCUCGGAAUCACUGGGCGUAAAGGGCGCGUAGGCGGUCAGCACAAGUCAAUUGUGAAAUCUCCGAGCUUAACUCGGAAAGGUCAACUGAAACUGUGCGACUAGAGUGCGGAAGGGGCAACUGGAAUUCUUGGUGUAGCGGUGAAAUGCGUAGAUAUCAAGAGGAACACCUGCGGCGAAGGCGGGUUGCUGGGCCGACACUGACGCUGAGGAGCGAAAGCGUGGGGGAGCGAACGGG
rnacentral:rRNA from 1 species